UGAUAGGAAGUUGAUGAGGCUGUAACAUCUGUUACCGACUCGACUGCCAAGGUCAGGUUGGCUGACCUGUUAAAGGGCGACCUCUUCUUCCUUCACCUUAUCUGGGUGAGCCCUUCCUGAAACUGAGGUCCUUCAGCCAAAGAGCCGACCUUCUCAGCCGGGGGGCAGGUGGCAGGUGGAGGAAUGACUGUGCUGCUUUGGCAGAAGAGCCAAAGAAUUCCUCAGAGAAUUUAUCUGUUUUGCCUAAAGUUAUAUAACAAGAUAGCCACGGAGGUGGACUUGUCAUUGUGGGUUGU
rnacentral:snRNA from 1 species